ACGACCUUACUUGAACAGGAUCUGUUCUAUAGGUUCGUACCUCUGUGUCCUUGAGUUUCAAGGAGACAAGAACCACAGCUUGGUUGAUGACUUAUGACCAGGUGAUCAGAGCGUGAUUAUUGGUCUGGGCUGCCCAGUGUAGGGUUCAGCCGGACCGCAGAGGAUCGUUCCCAGGCAGUUCAACUGUGUGGGGAUGGUCACUUGGUUGUCUGACAAGUU